rnacentral:lncRNA from 1 species
AUAGACUUUGAAUAUAUUUUAGUCUAAUGAAAAAAACAUCAUACAAUUCCUGGUUGACUUUAUUUUUAACAAAAUCUCUAAAUUCAUCAUACAAUUCCUGGUUGACUUUAUUUUUAACAAAAUCUCUAAAUUCUUUUAAUUCAAAAUCUUUUUUUUUUUUUUUAAAGCUGAAACAAACACACGCUUUAUUUCUUGAACUAUGUUUGUAGGCUUUGUUAACUUAGCAUAAACAACUCUAUCAUUCUUCUUCGCCGUCCAAAUUAACCAAAAAAUUGUAUGCCAACCCAAUAACACCCCCUUCUCCCAAUUUCCUUUCUGAGCCAAAGUAUAAAAAUAUCUCAAGCAAAUUGGUGAUUUUCUCCAUAAUCUCUAUCACCAAUCCAAGCCAUUUGAACACUUCGACAUAUAGAGCACUAGCAAAGCCACAUUUAGUGAACAAGUGAUCGCUCGAUCCCAACACCCCCUUACACCUUUUCGAAAGAUUUUUCCUUGUUGAAAGGCGAUCAAGAAGGAAUUGCCAAGAGAAUCUUUGUAUUGAUUGACUUAAUUGUUAGGAGGACAUCGACAAUAACAUUCAUACAUAUCACACUUUGCAACAAGAGGAGGGGCACACUUUUUUGUUGGACAAUCAAUGUCAAAAAUACAUUCAAGUAUUGCUGUGAUGUAAAAAAAAUUUGGUGAAUGUUAAAAGAUGUGGAUGAAAGAUUGUGUAUAAGAUAAAGAAGAAAAUUUACAAAGGGUUUUAAAAAGUUCUUACCACUCACGUCGAUUACAAUAAGAAAUAGUGCAAGAAAGAAGAUGACGAUAUAAUUAG